GGCGGAGCCACGCCGCCGUGGCCCAGCUGGGAGAGCUCUCGGUGUUGGCCUGGUGGCGCGGGUGGCCGGCUUCGCUAGGUAGGAACCUCACGAACGGCCUGCUGACCUCUUGGCCUCACACUCCCUUCCUGACACGCUGGGCUUGGACCCGCCGCCGCAGAGUGCGCGGCCUCGGAAGCCCCGGCUCAAGGGUCCAAUCACCGGAAGUGCCGCCUAGGGCGGCCGGGAGAGGGAAGAAUUGAAUAUAUGAGUAGUUCUGGAUUAGAGACCUUGUGGAGCCAAAAGGAAAAGUCAUUGAGUUCUUGUUAUGAAAGCUGUUUUAAUUUUGAUUUUCUCAAGACCAGAAAGUGAAUGCUGUUUUUCUUCUGUCUAUAUUAUAGGUUUGGAGGUACCAAGUAAGAAAUUAAUAUAUAUGAUGCUGGAAAUUUGUAAAUGCAAACUGCUAAUGAAUGAAAGGCUUGAAACAGAUCUGUUUUUGAAGUUACCAGGAAAAUGACUAUGAAAACGGCUCAAGAAGACCAAUGGAAAACCACUUAGGAGGGAGCCAUAGAAAAUGUACACUUCAGAAGAGAGAUGUAACCAGAGAACUCAAAAAAGAAAAAUAUACCAUGUAUGCCCUCAGAAGGGGAAAAAGAUUUAUAUUCAUGUACAUGAGAUUACUCCAAUAGAUAAUCAAAUAUAUCAGUGCCUUGAACGUGAACAGAACUUUUGUGAAAACUUAGCACGUAUGUGUGAGAAAACAUAUACUGGGGAGAAACCUUACAGAUGUGAUAUGUGUGAGAAAACCUUCAUCCAAAGUUCAGAUCUUAUUUCACACCAGAGGAUCCAUAAUUAUGAGAAACCUUAUAAGUGUAGCAAAUGUGAGAAGAGCUUUUGGCACCACUUAGCCCUCUCAGGACACCAGAGAACACAUGCAGGUAAAAAGUUUUAUACCUGUGACAUCUGUGGCAAGAACUUUGGUCAGAGCUCUGAUCUGCUUGUCCACCAACGAAGCCAUACAGGGGAAAAACCUUAUCUGUGUAGUGAGUGUGAUAAAUGUUUCAGUCGAAGUACAAAUCUCAUAAGGCACCGAAGAACUCACACAGGUGAGAAACCAUUUAAGUGUCUGGAAUGUGAAAAAGCUUUUAGUGGGAAAUCGGAUCUUAUUAGCCACCAAAGGACUCAUACCGGUGAAAGACCCUACAAAUGCAAUAAAUGUGAGAAAAGUUAUCGACACCCGCUCAGCCUUCAUUGUACAUAAAAGAGUUCAUACCGGGGAGAAGCCGUACAAGUGUGGUGCCUGUGAGAAGUGCUUUGGCCAGAAAUCAGACCUUAUUGUACACCAGAGAGUCCAUACCGGUGAGAAACCAUAUAAAUGCUUGGAGUGCAUGAGAAGUUUUACUCGGAGUGCCAACCUAAUUCGGCACCAGGCAACUCACACUCAUACUUUCAAAUGCCUUGAAUAUGAGAAAAGUUUCAACUGUGGCUCAGACCUUAUUGUACAUCAGAGAAUUCACAUGGAAGAAAAACCACAUCAGUGGUCUAUGUGUGAGAGUGGUUUCUUCCUAGGUAUGGACUUCGUUGCCCAGCAGAAAAUGAGGACUCAGCCAGAGGAGCUGCAUUAUAAAUACAGUGUAUGUGAUAAAAGCUUUCACCAUAGCUCAGCCCUUCUUCAGCAUCAGACAGUACACAUUGGUGAAGACUACAUCUGUAAUGGGAGUGAAAAAGGUCUGGAUCUUAGCUCUCAUGCAUCGGAAACCUCGCGGAUGUCUUGACAGGAAGUCACAUAACCUUAAAAAAAAGGUACUUUACACAUCCGAACUCAUUAAGAGAAAGACUUGAAGGUGAAUUUCAGAUUUCCCUCAAAUCUUAGACUUCAUUGGGGGCCAGAGAGAAAGAGAGUCUACAGUCUUAGGAACUGUAAGAAAAGCUUUAUACAGAGAAUGGAUCUAUCAGGACACCAUUGUUAGCCACAUUUGCGAAGAACUCCACAAAUGCUCUGGGUUUGGAAAACCUUCCACACAAGAAGGUUCAUCAGAUCGGAAGCCGUACACGUGCAGUAUGGGAGCUCUCCAGCAGUGGUAAGCCCUCAUCAUUACAAGAGAAUUCACACCAGAGAACAACCAUUUAAAUGCUUUGUGUCAGCAGUACUUUGGACAGUAUGUACGCCUUAUUGGAUAUCAGAAAAGUCACCCUGGGGAGAAACCCCAGAAAUUAGAGGAAAAAGUUCUAACAAAAUUCUGACUUUCUUACCCAUCACAGAAGCCAUACUGGUAUAGAUGAAUAUUUGUCUUGAGUGUGGCAGAAACAUUUGUUGGAGAGUCUUACAUGGGUUUGCAUCCUCCUAAACAAGAAUCAGAAGACAGAUAAGUGUCUGAAUGAGAAAAUCUUGCUAAUUUUCAGCUUUUGGGGUGUAUCAGGGAACUCACAGCAGUGAAAAGCCCUAAAUGCUUUGUGUCUGAGAAGCUAGAAGCUCUCAUCUAAUUGGGCCCCAAAGAACCGGUUCUCCAGAGGAGUUGUUCCAGUGUGAGAGAUCUAGUUGUGGGUGAGAAUCUGUACAUAGGGCUAUGUCUGAGAAGAGCUGUUCUUGUAGUUGAACCAUGUUGUAAAAAAUUAAAUAGAGUUGUAUGGAAGGAAAUAGUGUCUUAGCGACCCAGAAGCUUGUUCUGGGGGAGCUGGGGCAGGUCAGCGUGGAUCUGAAGGGUAACUCAGGUAAAGACGCUUUUCUUUUGUCUGAACCACUUAAUGAUUGCUUUAGUUUCACUUUUAAGAACUCAUAAAUCCAGUAAAGGAAAGGAUUGUAAUCUUGGGUAUAAGGUAGGGCAUGGGUUAUUGUUGGAAGAAAGGAGUGCUUUGCUUUUUGCUUUUUUUUUAACUCUCUGGAAUGGGAAUGGUAUGUUGCUAGCCGGCUGUGAAAAGCACUAAGAAGCUAGGGAGUACUUAGCUCGGGUUAAAAUCCUCAGUAGUUUCCCCAUUGCAUGAUCAGCUUCCGCAAAAAGCAGAACACUUUACUUAGUGUUGAGAUCUGCCCUCAAAAUUGUCCAAAAUUUUCCCUGAAGUAUCUUUUGGAGUUAACACUGAAAUUUCAAAUUUAGAGAUUCAUUUCAAGUGAGAAUAACAAAUUCCAGGAUACUGGUUAUGAUGAUGUUACAGUAUCUAGGUUUUUGUGACUUGUUACAUCUCUUUCAGUGAUAAAUAGCGUAUCAGCUGGCUCAGAACAGGAAUAGGGCGAAAGUUGUUAACCACAGAAAGCAGAGGAGAGACACAAUGAAGCGCUCUUCAUGGAGGAAGGGACACUGAUUUUGAGGGUCCUGACUCCAAAGCUUAUGUUCUACAUUCUAUUAUCCUGAUACUUGCAGCAAAUUAAGCUUCAUAAUGACACAUUUUUUUUCAUUUAUUUCAGUUCUGUCAAGGAAAGAAAAAUACAGUUUAAUCCCAGGGAAAGGAUUGCAGUCAACACAAUAUAAGGUAUAUUCUUGGUUUGGAAUGCAGGAUUCUAAAUGUUAGAAAAGUAGUUGGCAGAUUCACCUGAGGUUUAAGGAUAAACAUUUGUUUCCAGUGCAGUAGGUUAAUUGAUUGUCUUUAACAUACUUUGGAUAGCUCACGACCCAAGAAUCUUAUGGUCCUUCUCAUUAUUUUUCUUUCUUUGGCUUAAAAGACUUUUAAUUCAAAUAUUUCAAGUUCCUGUGGUAUUUGGGACUCUGUAGAAUAUAAUUAUUUUAUUGUUAAUCACAGUCCUCUGGUUUUGUUGUAAUUUGUUUAGUGAACCCUGAAUUCCAUGGGGUAUUAGUGUUUAGCGUCAUGAAAUUGAUCUGGUGAUACCUUACAUGUGGCUGUAAGCUCUCAACCUGAUAGUUGUUUGAUAAUCAUAAUCUUAAGGCCAGUGAAUUUAGCUCAGUAAAGAAUCUGGUUCCAGUGUUUUUCCUUUUAAAAAACCAGUUGUGUCAGUUUUAAUCUGACGUGUUCUAGUAAUUUUUAUAAAUAACUUUAGUACUAUGAAAAUUUGUCCAUUGUGAUAAACACACACAAGAUAUGUAUUUUUCUCCUUGGGGAAUAUCAUGCCUAUUACUAGCAAAAGUUUCAUAAUUGUGAUGCUUAAACUAAUAUUGGGUGUAUGACAACCUCAGUAAAAAAUGAAUUAGUUAUUAUGGCUGCUCAUUAGUGCUCAUUAGAGAGACCAUGGAGAAAGAGACAAAGUUUAAAACAUUAGUAGGUUGGUGACUUACCCUUCAGCCUGUCUCACUGGCAAUUGUCUAUAGUCUCUAAGUAAACUAACAGUGGACCAUUCCUCAAACAGAACUUUGAGGAUGUAAAGCAGGCCUGAGGCCUGUUAACUAUGGUGAGAAGGUGUUGAUAUUACAUAGCAUAACCUGAGGUUGGAGAGGACCACUUGGGAGCCUGUAACCAAAGCUAGAAGGUGGUAACUUCUGGGAUGGAUGGAGGUUCCCUUGAAGCAGUGCCAACCCAAAUCUACCUCAGGUAAGUAGUUAGAGUAAGUUUUUCAAGAUUUCAGACCAAAUGAGAUAAAUUAUAUUCCGUCCAUGUACUCCUCUAUGCUUUAUUGUUUUUGUUUACCUUUAAUUCUUAAAUAAACAUUUGUUCGGAAAAACUCUA